UACGUAGGGUGCAAGCGUUGUCCGGAAUUAUUGGGCGUAAAGAGCUCGUAGGCGGUUUGUCGCGUCUGCUGUGAAAACUGGAGGCUCAACCUCCAGCCUGCAGUGGGUACGGGCAGACUAGAGUGCGGUAGGGGAGAUUGGAAUUCCGGGUGUAGCGGUGGAAUGCGUAGAGAUCCGGAAGAACACCGGUGGCGAAGGCGGUUAGCUGGGCAGUUGCUGACACUGAGGCGCGACAGCGUGGGGAGCGAACAGG
rnacentral:rRNA from 1 species